rnacentral:rRNA from 1 species
CCUACGGGAGGCAGCAGUGGGGAAUAUUGGGCAAUGGAGGAAACUCUGACCCAGCAACGCCGCGUGCAUGAUGACGGUCUUCGGAGUGGAAAGUUGUUUUCUAAGGGGAGAAGACAGUGACGGUACCUUAGGAAUAAACCUCGGCUAACUACGUGCCAGCAGCCGCGGUAAUACGUAGGAGGCGAGCGUUAUCCGGAAUGACUGGGCGUAAGGGGUGCGUAGGUGGUUUGGCAAGUUAGUAGCGUAACUCCAAGGCUCAACCUUGGAAUUACUACUAAAACUGUUGGACUUGAGUGAAGGAGGGGUAGGCGGAAUGCCUAGUGUAGCGGUGGAAUGCGUAGAUAUUAGGAGGAACACCAGUGGCGAAGGCGGGUUGCCAGACUGCAACUGACACUGAGGCACGAAAGCGUGGGGAGCAAACAGGAUUAGAUACCCUUGUAGUC